ACACUGUGUGUUGUUGGGUAGGGGAGCGUUCUGUAAGCCUGUGAAGGUGUGUCGUGAGGCAUGCUGGAGGUAUCAGAAGUGCGAAUGCUGACAUAAGUAACGAUAAAGCGGGUGAAAAGCCCGCUCGCCGGAAGACCAAGGGUUCCUGUCCAACGUUAAUCGGGGCAGGGUGAGUCGACCCCUAAGGCGAGGCCGAAAGGCGUAGUCGAUGGGAAACGGGUUAAUAUUCCCGUACUUGGUGUUACUGCGAAGGGGGGACGGAGAAGGCUAUGUUGGCCGGGCGACGGUUGUCCCGGUUUAAGCGUGUAGGUGUGUGUUCCAGGUAAAUCCGGUUCACUUUAACACUGAGGCGUGACGACGAGGCACUACGGUGCUGAAGCAACAAAUGCCCUGCUUCCAGGAAAAGCCUCUAAGCAUCAGGUAACAUCAAAUCGUACCCCAAACCGACACAGGUGGUCAGGUAGAGAAUACCAAGGCGCUUGAGAGAACUCGGGUGAAGGAACUAGGCAAAAUGGUGCCGUAACUUCGGGAGAAGGCACGCUGACACGUAGGUGAAGUGAUUUACUCAUGGAGCUGAAGUCAGUCGAAGAUACCAGCUGGCUGCAACUGUUUAUUAAAAACACAGCACUGUGCAAACACGAAAGUGGACGUAUACGGUGUGACGCCUGCCCGGUGCCGGAAGGUUAAUUGAUGGGGUCAGCGCAAGCGAAGCUCCUGAUCGAAGCCCCGGUAAACGGCGGCCGUAACUAUAACGGUCCUAAGGUAGCGAAAUUCCUUGUCGGGUAAGUUCCGACCUGCACGAAUGGCGUAAUGAUGGCCAGGCUGUCUCCACCCGAGACUCAGUGAAAUUGAACUCGCUGUGAAGAUGCAGUGUACCCGCGGCAAGACGGAAAGACCCCGUGAACCUUUACUAUAGCUUGACACUGAACAUUGAGCCUUGAUGUGUAGGAUAGGUGGGAGGCUUUGAAGUGUGGACGCCAGUCUGCAUGGAGCCGACCUUGAAAUACCACCCUUUAAUGUUUGAUGUUCUAACGUGGACCCGUUACCCGGGUUGCGGACAGUGUCUGGUGGGUAGUUUGACUGGGGCGGUCUCCUCCUAAAGAGUAACGGAGGAGCACGAAGGUUGGCUAAUCCUGGUCGGACAUCAGGAGGUUAGUGCAAUGGCAUAAGCCAGCUUGACUGCGAGCGUGACGGCGCGAGCAGGUGCGAAAGCAGGUCAUAGUGAUCCGGUGGUUCUGAAUGGAAGGGCCAUCGCUCAACGGAUAAAAGGUACUCCGGGGAUAACAGGCUGAUACCGCCCAAGAGUUCAUAUCGACGGCGGUGUUUGGCACCUCGAUGUCGGCUCAUCACAUCCUGGGGCUGAAGUAGGUCCCAAGGGUAUGGCUGUUCGCCAUUUAAAGUGGUACGCGAGCUGGGUUUAGAACGUCGUGAGACAGUUCGGUCCCUAUCUGCCGUGGGCGCUGGAGAACUGAGGGGGGCUGCUCCUAGUACGAGAGGACCGGAGUGGACGCAUCACUGGUGUUCGGGUUGUCAUGCCAAUGGCACUGCCCGGUAGCUAAAUGCGGAAGAGAUAAGUGCUGAAAGCAUCUAAGCACGAAACUUGCCCCGA
rnacentral:rRNA from 1 species